rnacentral:rRNA from 1 species
UCCUACGGGGCGCAGCAGUGGGGAAUAUUGCACAAUGGGGGAAACCCUGAUGCAGCCAUGCCGCGUGUGUGAAGAAGGCCUUCGGGUUGUAAAGCACUUUCAGCGAGGAGGAAAGGUUGGUAGCUAAUAACUGCCAGCUGUGACGUUACUCGCAGAAGAAGCACCGGCUAACUCCGUGCCAGCAGCCGCGGUAAUACGGAGGGUGCAAGCGUUAAUCGGAAUUACUGGGCGUAAAGCGCACGCAGGCGGUUGGAUAAGUUAGAUGUGAAAGCCCCGGGCUCAACCUGGGAAUUGCAUUUAAAACUGUCCAGCUAGAGUCUUGUAGAGGGGGGUAGAAUUCCAGGUGUAGCGGUGAAAUGCGUAGAGAUCUGGAGGAAUACCGGUGGCGAAGGCGGCCCCCUGGACAAAGACUGACGCUCAGGUGCGAAAGCGUGGGGAGCAAACAGGAUUAGAUACCCCGGUAGUCCC